AGAAAAAAAUUGUAGUAGUAUAAACUUUCUUUGUAGUUUUUCUUUAAACACGCACAUUUCAACUAAAUAAUUUAUUUGUACAGUGAUAAUUUUCUUGAUACACUGUAUCUUGUUUAAGCCUCAGUUUUAUGCAUAAAAUAAUUAUUUCAUCCCCCAAGGUUGUUUCCUCAUAGUAGUUUUGCUAGACAGUGAAGAAAUCGAAUAUUAUGAAUUUAUUUAGACUUUUUAAAAUUCAAGAAGACAGCUUUUUUGUAAGCAUGUUAAUUAAAAUUUUACAAUUGGUUAGAAAUUACAAAUGAUUUGAUCAUCUUUAUUGAAUAUGUUUUUGGGGAGAUGAGGCAUGUUUAAUUUAUCUUUGCUAUCACCAUGAUCACACAUUUUGUAGUGAUAUGUGCCAGUUUACUCAGAAUUGUACCUUAAAAGGUACAUUGGAUAUGUUACAAGCGCUGAGAAAAUUAAACACUUCAUAGGGCCUAGCCUUUCAUUUUCAUUCCACACUUUGUUGGAAAUAUUUAAAGGAUAAUCACUUUUAGAUUUCAUGGAUUAUUUUGUUAUAUUACAUUGUUGACUUCAGAGCAACAUAUACAUGUAGACCGACUGUUUGUCCAUUUGUCUAUCAAACCUCAUAUCUUGACCAGAGGUACGAAUUUCAUAUUUAUUUGGCUCAUGUAUCACAUUGAAAAAAAGACUGUAUACAGUAUAUAUAAAUUAAACUUUAAAAUGCU
rnacentral:sRNA from 1 species